CAACUUUCAACAACGGAUCUCUUGGCUCUCGCAUCGAUGAAGAACGCAGCGAAAUGCGAUAAGUAAUGUGAAUUGCAGAAUUCAGUGAAUCAUCGAAUCUUUGAACGCACCUUGCGCUCCUUGGUAUUCCGAGGAGCAUGCCUGUUUGAGUGUCAUG
rnacentral:rRNA from 18 species